AAGCGACUUCCUCUUUCCAGUGCAUUUAAGGCGCAGCCUGGAAGUGCCAGGGAGCACUGGAGGCCACCCAGUCAUGGGGGACACCUUCAUCCGUCACAUCGCCCUGCUGGGCUUUGAGAAGCGCUUCGUACCCAGCCAGCACUAUGUGUACAUGUUUCUGGUGAAAUGGCAGGACCUGUCCGAGAAGGUGGUGUACCGGCGCUUCACCGAGAUCUACGAGUUCCAUAAAACCUUAAAAGAAAUGUUCCCUAUUGAGGCAGGGGCGAUCAAUCCAGAGAACAGGAUCAUUCCCCACCUUCCAGCUCCCAGGUGGUUCGACGGGCAGCGGGCCGCCGAGAACCGCCAGGGCACGCUUACUGAGUACUGCAGCACACUCAUGAGCCUGCCCACCAAGAUCUCCCGCUGUCCCCACCUCCUCGACUUCUUCAAGGUGCGCCCCGAUGACCUCAAGCUCCCCACGGACAACCAGACAAAAAAGCCAGAGACAUACUUGCUGCCCAAAGAUGGCAAGAGUACCGCGGCAGACAUCACCGGUCCCAUCAUCCUGCAGACGUACCGCGCCAUUGCCGACUACGAGAAGACCUCGGGCACUGAGAUGGCUCUGGCCAUGGGGGACGUGGUGGAGGUCGUGGAGAAGAGCGAGAGCGGUUGGUGGUUCUGUCAGAUGAAAGCAAAGCGAGGCUGGAUCCCAGCGUCUUUCCUCGAGCCCCUGGACAGUCCUGACGAGACGGAAGACCCUGAGCCCAACUAUGCAGGUGUCUGGACAGACCUUCAUCGUUGUGGAAUCUGGUCCCCGGAGUGGGUGGCAAUGAAUGGGAGUGGACAAGCUCACCUGGGUAUAGGGGGCAGAGGGCAGAAGUCCAGAGUGUGCCCCCAGAGAGGGUGCCAGCAGGAGCUUGCCGAGGGAAACCGGGAUGGAGUAGGAGGAUGGAGGGAGGAGACCCAGAAGAGGGGGAACUGUGGGCCCUGGGUGGGUCUGGAGUGCCUGGAGGAAGCCCAGGUGCAGAGAGAAGAAGACGGGAUGGGUGGCGAGCCCCAGGCUGGCCAGAUCUCACACCGUGCUCUGUGCCCCCGCCGUGGACCAGGCGAGCCGUACGUUGCCAUCAAGGCCUACGCUGCUGUGGAGGAGGACGAGGUGUCCCUGCUCGUGGGCGAAGCUGUUGAGGUCAUUCACAAGCUCCUGGACGGCUGGUGGGUCAUCAGCAAAUACCUGUUCCCUGCGGUGACCUGGAUCUGCUAACCUCCGCCCCUGCAUAGACUGUGGAAGGAUUGCUGGAAGGGUCUCAGUUGCACAGACCAGGAAACUGAGGCCCACAGAGGAAAGAUGACGUCACGGGCUACUUCCCCUCCAUGUACCUGCAAAAGUCGGGGCAAGACGUGUCCCAGGCCCAACGCCAGAUCAAGCGCGGGGCGCCGCCCCGCAGGUCGUCCAUCCGCAACGCGCACAGCAUCCACCAGCGGUCGCGGAAGCGCCUCAGCCAGGACGCCUAUCGCCGCAACAGCGUCCGUUUUCUGCAGCAGCGGCGCCGCCAGGCGCGGCCGGCACCGCAGAGCCCCGGGAGCCCUCUCGAGGAGGAGCCGCAGACCCAGCGCUCUAAACCACAGCCGGCGGUGCCCCCGCGGCCCAGCGCUGACCUCAUCCUGAACCGCUGCAGCGAGAGCACCAAGCGGAAGCUGGCGUCUGCCGUCUGAGGCUAGAGCGCAGUCCCCAGCUAGCGUCUCGGCCCCUCCCGCCCCGUCCCUGUAUAUACGUGUUCUAUAGAACCUGUUGUCUGGACGCCGAGGCCAGCCCCGGCCCCUGUCCAGCGCGGCUCCCGCCACCCUCAAUAAAAGUUGCUUGGAGUGGA